rnacentral:rRNA from 1 species
UACGAAGGGGGCGAGCGUUGUUCGGAUUUACUGGGCGUAAAGGGCGCGUAGGCGGCGGGUCAAGUCGAGUGUGAAAGCCCCGGGCUCAACCUGGGAAUUGCGCUCGAGACUGGUCUGCUUGAGUUCGGGAGAGGAGAGUGGAAUUCCCAGUGUAGAGGUGAAAUUCGUAGAUAUUGGGAAGAACACCGGUGGCGAAGGCGGCGCUCUGGACCGAGACUGACGCUGAGGCACGAAGGCUAGGGGAGCAAACGGG